rnacentral:rRNA from 1 species
UACGUAGGGUGCGAGCGUUGUCCGGAAUUAUUGGGCGUAAAGAGCUCGUAGGCGGCUUGUCACGUCGGUUGUGAAAGCCCGGGGCUUAACCCCGGGUCUGCAGUCGAUACGGGCAGGCUAGAGUUCGGUAGGGGAGAUCGGAAUUCCUGGUGUAGCGGUGAAAUGACGCAGAUAUCAGGAGGAACACCGGUGGCGAAGGCGGAUCUCUGGGCCGAUACUGACGCUGAGGAGCGAAAGCGUGGGGAGCGAACAGG